ACAUGACCCUGCCUUGGUAAUGUUUUAGAAUUUCCAUGGCAAAGAUUCUAAUAAGACAAACACACCUGACACUUAAAAUAGUGCUUGGCACUUAGCAAAUACUCAAUAACUAUUAGGUAUUAUUUUUAUUAUUUCAAUUAUACUUUUUAAGGAAUUAAAAUAUAAUACAAUUUCUAUUUAACAUUAUUUAAUCUUUCUUGGGUAACAAAAGCAGAGGCAUCAAUAGUUUGGUAAUUCUGUUAGUCAGGGAGUUGACAUCAGUGUAAGCUGGACCUCACUGCAUAAUGUGAAUUAGGAAUGAACAUCCCAGCUUUGCCCAGGGGCCAUCCAGCUUGCGUGAGAUAAAUCUGGACCUGAAUGUCAAUUUACUAA
rnacentral:lncRNA from 1 species